AUCCAUUCAUUCAUUCGGAUCGUUGACUUAUUCUUUCGAUUUGGUAAAUGAAAAAAAAUAGACAAAAUAGAAUCAUCCAUGUCGAUAUAGACGAAAACGACAAAGAAAGAAAGAAAGCCUUGAAUUUGAUGCAGAUGUGGAUGAUAUUUCUACCUGUUUGAUUUUUUGGGUAAGUUUGAUCGAACGAAUUGACCACUAAAAAUCUGAACUUAUCGAUUUGAUCCGCGAUCAAUCGAUUGAUUUUACCUGAACCGAAAAAAAAUAUUUAUAACAGCAGCAACAAAAACAACAGUGUCUUAUUAGGCAACGAUAAAUUCGAUUAUUGAUCGAUCGAUUGAUUGGCAAGUGUGUUUCGACCGAGCAAAAGUGAAAAAAAUCCUUUUUUUUGGAAAUUUUUCAAGUCCAAAUCCAAACGAUAAUCAUCACUGGAAGAAAAAAUAUUAAAAUCACAAAUCAUCAUCAUCAUCAUCGAUGAAAUAC